AGGAUGCUCCAAGGGAAACAGCACCAGGAUUCGGGCACGCAUCUCCAGGGGAUAUGGAUCUAACAACCCAUGAACCAAACCAACUUUCUGAUCCAACAGCCUGUUCCACAUCAUGUGAUUCAGUCCAGCCUCCAACUGACCUCGACGAUAAAAGGUCGUGGGUUGAUUGUUGAGAGCUCAGUGACAAAAGUGCGACUGCCUCACGACAAACGUACUGCUCCUCAUCAUUGCUAAAGUCGGCUCAGCUGGAGCUCAGUUUUCCCGACAACAAAUGUGGGCUAGCCGAUCAUCCAGUGCCAGUGGACGCCUCAAGUUUGGGUGGCUACCCAGACUGCUCCUCAGUGCAUGAGUCACCGCAGACAGAGUACCACCUCCAGGGAACAUCAGAGCAAGCACCAUCCCCAAAUAGGGCAAACUUUGGGUGCCAAACAAACAUAUGGGUUGGCCGAAACAAGGGAACGCAAACAGUCUUUUGGGUCAGGAGCACCUCUACACAGACAAAAGUGGCGUGCCAAGAUAUGGAGACGCAGACAGAUGACGCAUCGGAUGAUGGAUGUCGCCCACCACUGCCAGCUCCGUCUACACAGCGCACCAUAGUCAAUAAUUUACAGCACGGAUGACUGUGAGUCAGGUUCCGAAAGCAGGGAUGAUACUUGCAGAGAUGAUCUUGAUCCUUUGUAUGUCAUGGAGGAAGAGGACGGUAGCGACAGCAGCUCUGAAGACACUUCCCAUCAGCAAGAGCAUGAGGGAACUGGAGACCAUGCAGAGAAAAAGUAUGUCGUCUUCCACCACUGUUUAAUGACGCUUCUGGAACGGUGUGGACAGUGCGGUUCUAGAGACUGCAAAGUAGUCAUGAACUAUGCGGGGACCCUCGUGACGGCACACAUUACGUGCCCCAAGAAGCACAAGGAGACAUGGCGCAGCCAACCCCUUGUUGAAGGGAAGGCAUUAUUUAACAUCCUUUUGUGCUCAGCCAUUUUGUUUUCUGGUAGUUUCUCCACUAAGGUGUUGCGGCUGCUCUCGUUGAUAGGAGUACAGACGCUGCAGAAGUCGAUGCUCUUCGACUUCCAAAGGCUCUACUUGUGGCCAGCAGUUCAUGAGGUUUGUGCUUGCAAAGUAAAAGAAAAGCUUUUAUUGAAGGGGUUACUUUUUUAUUAGGUCUGGAAAUCGGAGCAGGACCUCAUGAUCCAGGCAACACAAGGGGAAAAGCUGUGUCUCGCCGGGGACAGCAGAGUGGACUCCCCUGGACAUUCGGCUGACUUCGGCACAUACACUCUCAUGGACGUUACCCACAAUUGGGUCUUCCACAUCGAGCUCGUCAAGUCAACAGAGGUCUCCUGAAGCAAUCGAAUGGAGAAGGAAGGGCUGGUCAGGGCGCUCAAAUCGCUCCAAGAACAAGGAGUCGAGGUUGGCACAAUCGUAACUGACCGCCACCGUGAGGUAAAUGCCUACCUGCGGAUCAACCACCCUGACGUGCAGCACCGCUUUGAUGCUUGGCACUUUGAAAAGGGUAUCAAAAAGAAGAUUGAUGCAGUUUCGAGGACAAAGGCACAUGAGGUGCUGCGCAAGUGGAAAAGCACCAUCAUCCGCCACGUUUACUGCUGUGCCCGUACCAGCGACGGUGAUGGCGACCUUGUCCUUGCCAAGUGGACGUCCAUCAUGCGGCACGUAAUAGACGUCCCCAUCCACAGAGAUCCUCUGCAUCCAGCCUGUGCGCAUGGCGACAUCGGAAGCCGGAAAUGGCUGGAGGAAGGCCAGCCUAGUAGAGGUACCUGCUGCUCCUAUCUGUACCUAAAAAUUCCUUAUUUUUGUACAGGCACAGAAACCUUCAGGCGACUGGAGUCUGUACUCAUGCCCGCCCUCCUGCUCAGAGACAUCCCCAGGAUCUCACCUAAGGAGCAGACAUACGCACUAGAAUCCUUCCAUGGUAUCCUGGUCCAUUUCGCACCAAGGUCGAGAAAAUUCAAGUAUGAGGGAAUGCUGGCACGGACCUAGAUAGUGGCCAUCCACUACAACUUCAAUGCAGAGAGGGCCAUAAAGCUGACAGCGGAUGGCGAGGAACAGUAUGCCCAGCGUUGGUCGAAGGCAGAGAAGCAGUGGAGGUUGAUCGUCCUGAAAGAGGCAGCAGCAUACGGCUAUGUCAGCAAAGCUAAUUGAUGCUGUCCUGGCCUGCGUAGCACGCUGGCCUACCUACAAGUUGGCGGCACAAGCACAAGCUCCGCAACGCGUCGUGCAUGCGACCCUCGCAGACAGGUGUGGACCACGACCAAGCAAGGAAGAGGCAGUGAAACGCCAUCGUUCAAGGUUUUCCGUGUGAUUAUUUCGUGUCACGAGCUUUCCCUCAUGUUGUAUUCACGUAGGCCUGGUGUCUAUUCCUUCUGCGUCAAUUCUGUGCCGAGGAACUUGGCUUUGCGAACUGCGAACUGACAUUUUUCAUUCUUUAGACAAAAGCCUGCGUCUUUGAGUUCGGACAGUACUUGGUCCAGACCUGCAGCAUGUUGUUUAGAACUAUCUCCACUCACGAUGAUAUCGUCAAAGUAGAUACUUAUGCCCUGAAUGUCAGCCAAGGUUGUUUCCAUUGUACGCUGCAAAGUUGCGGGUGCCGCUGAUAUCUCGAAAGGCAGGUAUUUCACCUUGUACAAGCCCUUUAUGGUGUUGAUAGUCAGGACAGCUGUUGUGGCUUCAGACUAUUUCAGUUGUUGGUAGGCUUGGCAGAGGUCCAACACGUCGAGAAAACGGUGCCCCCUCUCAGAUUCGCCACAACUUCAGUAGUUGGUAGUGGGUAGGCUGCCUUCUCUGAAGCGGAGUUGAAAAGUCUUUUAGCAGUAUUUCUACACAGAAUAUAACAUUUUGUUCAAAGUUUUUAAAUAGACAUCUCUCGAUUUUGUCAACUAUGCAUAAAAUGGGCAUAAAAAUGAGCUGAUUAUGCCCUGAAUGGAUGUUUGCAAUUUGCAGUCGGGUAAUAUUUUUUUUUUGCUUUGUAAAUGGCAUUGAUUGACUCAUACAUGCAUUGACAAGACACUUCUGUGGCACUGAUUAUAGCUUCUGCUAUAAAUAUUUAUGUACUCGAACUGAAAUAAACGUGAGCAAUAAACUUC